CGCCCCAGUGCCGCAGCCGCCCGCCCCGCCCCGCGCGCCGCGGUGCGCCCCGAGCGGCGGCCGCUUCCGGGAGGGCUGGGGCGACCCUACCCGGGCGGCUCCUCCAGCCCCCGGGAGUAGGGGGCGAGGGGGUUGGUCCGGCCUGAAGCGCGGUCCCAGCCACGGUCCUUCCCGCGCCGCCCGCGCCUGCGCCCCACUCCCAGUCCCUUCGCUCUGGGCCAGCCGGUCCUUCCGUCCCGGGCCGCCCGCCCGGUGACUCUGCCGAGCCCUCUGCACCCCUAUCUCGGCCUCGGCCCCGCCGCCAGCGCCCGCGCUGCCCCGCUCCGGCUCGGGUCCCUCGGAGCUCAAGUUUCGACCCUCCGCCGGAUCGGGUUCCCGGCGCUCCUCGCUUCUGCGCCAUCCAUCCCCGCGCGGGGCUCUCGCCCACCAAGCCCCGCACCCCUCAGCCACCCCAGCUUCCGCGAGGCCAAGCCCUCGUCCGUCCAGGACAGGUUACCGGACCAGCUGGAGGAGGGGCCUGUGAGCGGUGUGACCCUGUGCACCCGCCCCGUGAUUCUCCCAGAGCUACCCCCAGAAUUCCUUUUUGGGCUAGGGUCGCGAGGGUCGCGAGGGACGCUGCGGAGUUGAGUACUCGACUAGGGAAGGGACCUCCAAUCUCUGUCUCCCCACCCCCCAAAACUCAGAGCAGGAAACUAGCUUGGCUGAGAAGACCCAGGCCUAAUAACCUGGGGAGCUGUGGAGCACCCAGAAGAAAGUGGAAAAGCUGGGAGAUGUGAGGGUCGAAGUGAUGGCCCUUCCCUUUUGUGGGCAUUUCUGAUCUGGGGGCCAGCUGCAACCUGUGGUCUGUCACUGCAAGAGAAAGAAGAGGAAAAGACAGACGCUAAAAGAACUCAGAUAGAAAGACACACCUGUUGGAUGUGCAGGAUGAGCAGGAGCCCACGAAGGGAAGGAGAGAGAAUGAGUGAGAGAGAGCCCAAGGCAG